rnacentral:lncRNA from 1 species
AAAAGGUUAUAUUUAAGUAUGGUACAAUUGUACUCUUUAAUAGUUGAUGUAUGGUAUCUGGGCUAAACGAUUCCUUCAUAGAGCGGAGGUAUAUACGAACUAGCAACUCGAAACCUAGUUUGUUGGUUGUUUGUGGGAAACCACUCAGCGUACCAUAUUGAAAACUGUUAGAGACUCGAUGUGUACCAAGUAUAGGAAGUGGAUAGAUAGAGUCUAAGAGA